AUAACACCUGUGCUAGCUCCCGGUGUCAUUCCAAGACUAUUCUUCAGGACGGUACAAAAAACAGACAAGAAUCUCAGUUAACUUGUCAACAGCGAUUUGGUGAGGAGUGCAGGGAGGCGAUAUCUACAAUACGAUAUUUCACUGAUGAGAAGAUGAGCGACUUUCCAGUAUUGACAGAAGAUAGUCGAUCGACCACGAUUUCUCCAUGAUGUUUGGUCACGAAGUGUCUCAGAAUUUCCUGGCAAAGUGGUCAAUAUUCUUCAAGCCAAACAUCAUUGCAGACUGCAAGACUCUUAAGAAUAUGGGCGAGCUGCUGUCAGGAACUGAACCUGAAUCUGAGGACUAAAAUGCGAUAUGUCCUCAAUCCUUUUGCAGCUGCAUCUGCUCCCUCCAACCUCAAGAGGCCAGGAAAAAAAACAUCCAAGAUCAGUUCAGCUCAAGCAACCAGCCAUCUUGUGAGCUAUUUUAAGGAAGGAGCCAGUGUGAAUACCUUCAUUGAGAGUGCUGACACAAGACAACCAUUUCUCCUCUACAUCGGUGAGCGAAAGAAGGAUAUCCCAAAGUUCUACAUUAUUAUCGACCAAAAGGCGAUCCCAUGUAAGGCGCACACAUCAGUGGCAGCUUUUGAUGAACUGUUCAAAGCUCACUAUGUCUUCAGUUUCUCAUAUGGUGAAGCUCUUUGUGAUUUCUACACAUUUAUCCAAACCACUAUAUAUAACAUCGAUGUCGGAAGAGCAAUGGAGAGCCUGCGUGUUAAAGAACUUCGAGCACGAUUGCUGCAGCGAGAUUAACUGCCUUGAAGAUGUUCAUAUGUUUUGAAUGUAAAGAACACCUCAGAACUUGUUUGGUUCUUCGUCAACAUUUAAAAUUUCAACAUGGUUUAUAUCCUAGCAAAAAGUUACAUUUCAAAUGUGGAGAGCCAGGUCGCCUGUUAUCAUUUUGUACUUAUAGUGGCUUCCGAAAACACCUCAGCAAGGUACAUAGUCACACUAUGGAUCAGGAGAUUGAUACUAAUCAGGAUCUUUCCACUCAGGGAGAAUAUGAGGCGGAAUCUUCAAAUGAUCGCCCAAGUUUACAAAGUUGGAGUUUACAAAGACAUUAAUGAUGGGUCGUGUUUCCAAAACCAUGCACUGUUCUCACAGCAAAAGCACGCUUUUCAGAUUCUACUCUAUCACAACGAUUUUGAAACUGCUAACCCUCUAGGUUCCAAGAGGGGGAUCCACAAACUUGGUUGUAUCUAUUUUACUCAAAAAAAAAUCUUCCACCCAAGUGUAACUCUGUACUGAUUAAUGUACAUCUUGCAGCUUGAUUCUACAUGGAAGAUCUUAAGACAUAUGGUUUUGAUGUGAUACUAAAGCCCCUUAUUGAUGACCUGAAAAUCUAAGAAACCGAAGGCAUACAGCUUCCUUGUUUUGAACAACCAUUGUUUGGCUCAGUAAUUCAAGUAACAGGAGAUAAUUUGGCUUUAAAUGGCUUGCUGGGAAUCUUACAGUGCAAGUAAUUUCUGUAGGCUUUGUUUAAUUAGUAAGGAAGAAGUUCAAUCUAUAUUUACUGAAGAUCAUCCUGGGUUAAUUUUUCGUUCCAAAGAGGUUCAUACUGAACAUUGUAAGGCACUAAAUGAAAAUCCUGAACUGCGGUCAAUAUAUGGUGUCAAAAAGUCAUGUGCGCUCAAUUCUUUAGAGUAUUUCCAUUGUACUGAUAACUAUGCUGUUGACAUCAUGCAUGAUCUGCUAGAGGGUGUGGUACAGUAUGAACUUAAACUGAUUUUUGAGUACCUUGUUAAACAGGGUGCACAGCUUUAUGGUUACACAGACCGUAAAAACAAACCAAGUGGGUUAAAAAUUGAUGAUAUGGGCAAACACCUGGGUUUGAAUGCCAUACAGUCAUGGUGUCUUCUGCACAACACUCCACUGAUAUUUGGUGGUCAUUGAAAGGAAUAACAAUCACUGGAACUUUCUCCUACUUUUGAUGCAGAUUGUCAAUAUAGUGUUUUCCUACACCAUAACUGAUGGGAUGAUAUGUUACUUAAAACAUCUGAUCUGUGAUCACCAUACUCUAUUCAAAGAAUUGAUUCCUGACAAGACGUCGAUUCCCAAGCACCACUUGAUGAUGCACUAUCUGAGAUGCAUUAAAAAAAAAUGGCCCUCUUAUCCAUAUGUGGUGAAUGCGAUUUGAAGCUAAGCACCAUAUUUUCAAAAGAUGUGGCAAAAAUUUCAAGAAUCUCAUUAAAUCAUUAGUAAAGCAACAUCAACGUCAAUUGGCAUUUAACUGUGAAAAUGAUUGUUUUAGAAGGUUUGAAUUUGGUCCUACAUCAAAAACCAUCUGUAACUUGCAAGGUGGUGAAGAACUCAGUCAGACAUUAUAUUUAGAAGCCUGUUUGAGUGUUACAAGUACAAAGUGGGUCAGACAUUAUGGUACUGAGUAUCAGGUUGGUGUGUUCAUAUGCACUGGAUGUACCUAUGAUCUCCCUGU
ensembl:lncRNA